rnacentral:lncRNA from 1 species
CUGCAAGUUCUAAGGGGUCUCAUAAGCUGUGGAAGAUGGUAGCAUAGUGGUAGAUCUGUCCAAUCUUGGUGCACAGCAUGUAAUCAUAUUAACUGAGUUGUGUUUUCAUUGCUGGGGCAUAUUUUGGAGGAGAUUUUUACCUCAACACCAUGGUGUUACCACAAUGCUGAAUUUGGCGAACCAAUGCAGGACCUGAGAAAGGCAGAGGACAUUUGGAAGAAACACUGCUGAUUUGUAGCUCCAUGCAAGAAGAAAAGAAUUAAAAUUUGUACCACAGAAGUCUCAGGCGGCACCAGGUUGGGUUAUGUCAUCAGAAUAUAAUAUAAAUAGAUGUUAGGGGUGUUUGUUGGGGAGCCAGGUCAGCAACCUGGCAGUGGAGGACCACAGUUCAUAGGAAAAGUCAAAUAGCUUCUAGAAAGUUCAAUAAAUUCUCUUUGUUUUUAAUAUCCUGUCUUGUAGUGGUAAGAUGCCGCCUUUAUCGUUCAUACAUACAUGCAGUGGACAGAGUAGUAAAAAUCAUAGCAAAGUCCAUCUAUAUGGUAAUGGUGUUUCCAUUUUCCUAUCUGAGAGCUUGACUCAGAUUAAUAAUUUUUUGUUCUCAGGGCCGAGAUACCUGGCUUAUGACUACGUCAUUAACAAUAAAGUACCUGCUGUACAGCUGCCACGCUUGUCAUGAGUGCGCAAACAUUUGGAAUUCAGACCACAAGAAUGCUA